UUACAGCAACUGGCAUCUCAUGGUCUGUUUGAUGUAUAUGUGAAGGCGAUGGGUGACACACACAUUGAUGAUCAUCACUCAAAUGAGGAUACUGCUUUAGCAAUUGGAAUGGCAUUACUUCAAGCACUUGGUGACCGAAAAGGGAUUAACCGGUUUGGGCAUUUUACAGCACCACUUGAGGAGGCAGCAGUUGAGGUUAUACUGGAUCUAUCUGGUCGACCUCAUUUGAGCUGCGGCUUAAGUAUUCCUACCGAGAGAGUUGGCACAUAUGAUACACAGCUAGUUGCGCACUUUUUCCAGUCCCUUGUGAAUACAUCUGGCAUGACGCUUCAGAUCCGUCAGCUUGCGGGGAACAACUCACACCAUAUUAUGGAGGCAACUUUCAAAGCAUUUGCCAGGGCGCUUCGACAAGCAACGGAAUACGACUUACGCAGACGUGGCACCAUCCCAGGUUCGUGA
rnacentral:rRNA from 1 species